rnacentral:rRNA from 1 species
UUAUUGGAGAGUUUGAUUCUGGCUCAGAACGAACGCUGGCGGCGUGGAUUAGGCAUGCAAGUCGAACGACCCUGCCCCUCGUGAGAGGGGCGGGGUAGUGGCAAAAGGGCGAGUAACACGUGGGUAACCUACCUCCGAAACCGGGAUAACUUUGCGAAAGCGAGGCUAAUACCGGAUAAGACCACGGUUCAUAAGGACUGUGGUAAAAGGAAGCCUCUAUUUAUAAGCUACCAUUUGGAGAGGGGCCUGCGUCCUAUCAGCUAGUUGGUGAGGUAACGGCCCACCAAGGCUAUUGACGGGUAGCUGGUCUAAGAGGAUGGUCAGCCGCACUGGGACUGAGACACUGCCCAGACUCCUACGGGAGGCUGCAGUCGAGAAUCUUUAGCAAUGCCCGAAAGGGUGACUAUGCGACGCCGCGUGAGCGAUGAAGGUCUUCGGAUUGUAAAGCUCUGUCAAGUGGGAUGAAUACCACACUCAUAACAUGGGUGUGGAAUGACAGUACCACUAGAGGAAGCCACGGCUAACUCCGUGCCAGCAGCCGCGGUAAUACGGAGGUGGCAAGCGUUGUUCGGAUUUAUUGGGUGUAAAGGGCAUGUAGGUGUCCUGGUAAGUCGGGUGUGAAAUCCUUCAGCUCAACUGAAGAAUUGCGCUCGAAACUGUCAGGAUUGAGUGCGUGAG